UAACACAUGCAAGUCGAGCGGUAACAGAAAUUAGCUUGCUAAUUUGCUGACGAGCGGCGGACGGGUGAGUAAUGCCUGGGAAUAUGCCUUGAUGUGGGGGAUAACUAUUGGAAACGAUAGCUAAUACCGCAUAAUGCCUACGGGCCAAAGAGGGGGAUCUUCGGACCUCUCGCGUCAAGAUUAGCCCAGGUGGGAUUAGCUAGUUGGUGGGGUAAUGGCUCACCAAGGCGACGAUCCCUAGCUGGUUUGAGAGGAUGAUCAGCCACACUGGAACUGAGACACGGUCCAGACUCCUACGGGAGGCAGCAGUGGGGAAUAUUGCACAAUGGGGGAAACCCUGAUGCAGCCAUGCCGCGUGUAUGAAGAAGGCCUUCGGGUUGUAAAGUACUUUCAGUUGUGAGGAAGGCGGUAACGUUAAUAGCGUUACCGUUUGACGUUAGCAACAGAAGAAGCACCGGCUAACUCCGUGCCAGCAGCCGCGGUAAUACGGAGGGUGCGAGCGUUAAUCGGAAUUACUGGGCGUAAAGCGCAUGCAGGCGGUCUGUUAGGCAAG
rnacentral:rRNA from 1 species